rnacentral:lncRNA from 1 species
CGUCUGAUAAGAUGGACUCGGACAUCCGGAAUCAGCAACAGCUCUUCUCUGCAAAGGGAGGCCAAAACUCCCACCUCUGUAUCAUUUCGCGCACGAGAGCUGAUUGCGUCGCAAGCUCGCUUGCUGUCGAUUCCACACGCCCUUUGGUGAUACCUCUUUCCUUCAACCAGGAGAGAGCUUCUUUAAUUCCCAUUAGCUCGCCUUCUUCAACCCCACGCGAGCCCGGGAUGUUGAUGGCCUUCCCAGCAAUGAAGUUACCCCAAUGAUCACGGAUAGCAAUGCCCAAACCCAUGGAUUUAGUAUCAGCGAAGAAGGNNN